AAAAAAAUCAUCAGGCUGCUUCUUCAGUUUUGCUAUCCUCUUAGGAUUAAAAUUUAUUUAUUUAUGAUUUUUUUUUUCUUUCAGGGACCACUUAAUAGUGAGUCUUCCAACCAGAGCUUGUGUAGCGUCAGAUCCUUGAGUGAUAAAGGAGUAGAGUGACGAGUAGCACAGCCCCUCUAUGGUUUAGAUGGCAGUGCUGCAAAGGAGGCAACAGAGGAGCAGUCUGCUCUGCCAAUCCUCACGUCAGUGAUGCUAGCAAAACCUCGGCUUGACACAGAGCAGCUGGCGUAAAGGAGAGCUGGCCUCUGCUUCACUUUUGUUUCAGCUCAGCAAAACAGUCCCUCAUCUACGGGAUCUGGCAACACAGAGCAUUCCUGCAGCUCCCAAAAACAGAUCUCCAUCCAGCACAGACAGACCCAGGCCAACUGUGAUUUGAGACGGCAGAUUGAUGAACAGCAAAAGAUGCUAGAGAAAUACAAGGAACAAUUAAAUAGAUGUGUGACAAUGAGCAAGAAACUCCUUAUAGAAAAGAUGAUGAUUAUUCCCCACCUUCUAAGAGACAAAGACCAACGAGCCACCACAGCCACCGGUCCCAGAACCCGCCAAUGCUGGGGAACGGAAAAUGAGGGAGUUCAACUCUGGCCCUCACAAUCCAGUGGAGGAGACGAAACUCAGCUGCCUCUGUCCCUCUGGGCACGCCUCAUGCCAGGUGCAUCUGUGGACAGGGGCCAUGCUCCUGGGCUUCCAAAGUUGGAGAAAGCUGCCAGGCUCAGGU
rnacentral:lncRNA from 1 species